rnacentral:rRNA from 1 species
UACGUAGGGUGCGAGCGUUGUCCGGAAUUAUUGGGCGUAAAGAGCUCGUAGGCGGUCUGUCGCGUCGGUCGUGAAAACUUGGGGCUUAACCCUGAGCUUGCGGUCGAUACGGGCAUGACUGGAGUUCGGCAGGGGAGACUGGAAUUCCUGAUGUAGCGGUGAAAUGCGCAGAUAUCAGGAGGAACACCGGUGGCGAAGGCGGGUCUCUGGGCCGAUACUGACGCUGAGGAGCGAAAGCGUGGGGAGCGAACAGG